rnacentral:rRNA from 1 species
AACGGAGGGGGCGAGCGUUAUUCGGCAUCAUUGGGCGUAAAGGGCGCGAAGGCGGCCGGGCAAGUCAGGGGUCACAUCCCUCGGGUCAACCCAUGGUUUGCCUCUGAAAAUGCCCAGUUCGAGGCCGGGAGAGGGUAGUGGAAUUGCCAGUGUAGCGGUGAAAUGCGUAGAUAUUGGGAGUGACACCAGUGGCGAAGGCGGUUACCUGGACUGGUUCUGACGCUGAGGCGCGAAAGCGUGGUUUGCAAACAGG